rnacentral:rRNA from 1 species
CCUACGGGAGGCAGCAGUGAGGAAUAUUGGUCAAUGGAGGAGAGCCUGAACCAGCCAUGCAGCGUGAAGGAUGAAGGCCCUCUGGGUUGUAAAUUUUUUUUGUAUGGGAAUAAAAUGUUACACGUGUGGCAUUUUGUAUGUACCUUAUGAAUAAGAAUCGGCUAACUCCGUUCCAGCAGCCGCGGUAAUACGGAGGAUCCGAGCGUUAACCGGAUUUAUUGGGGUUGAAGGGAGCGUAGGUGGGUGGUUAAGUCAGUUGUGAAGGUAGGGGGCUUAACCGGGGAAUUGCAGUUCAUACUGGCAGGCUUGAGUACAGUAGAGGGGGGCAGAAUUCGGGGUGUAGCGGUGAAAUGCGUAGAUAUCAGGAAGAACUCCGAAGGCGAAGGCAGCUCAUUGGAAUGGAACUGACACUGAGGCGCGAAAGUGUGGGGAUCAAACAGGAUUAGAUACCCGUGUAGUC